ACGCUGGCGGCGUGCCUAAUACAUGCAAGUAGAACGCUGAAGAGAGGAGCUUGCUCUUCUUGAAUGAGUUGCGAACGGGUGAGUAACGCGUAGGUAACCUGCCUUGUAGCGGGGGAUAACUAUUGGAAACGAUAGCUAAUACCGCAUAACGAUGGGUGACACAUGUCAUUUAUUUGAAAGGGGCAAUUGCUCCACUACAAGAUGGACCUGCGUUGUAUUAGCUAGUAGGUGAGGUAACGGCUCACCUAGGCGACGAUACAUAGCCGACCUGAGAGGGUGAUCGGCCACACUGGGACUGAGACACGGCCCAGACUCCUACGGGAGGCAGCAGUAGGGAAUCUUCGGCAAUGGGGGCAACCCUGACCGAGCAACGCCGCGUGAGUGAAGAAGGUUUUCGGAUCGUAAAGCUCUGUUGUAAGUCAAGAACGAGUGUGAGAGUGGAAAGUUCACACUGUGACGGUAGCUUACCAGAAAGGGACGGCUAACUACGUGCCAGCAGCCGCGGUAAUACGUAGGUCCCGAGCGUUAUCCGGAUUUAUUGGGCGUAAAGCGAGCGCAGGCGGUUUGAUAAGUCUGAAGUUAAAGGCUGUGGCUCAACCAUAGUUCGCUUUGGAAACUGUCAAACUUGAGUGCAGAAGGGGAGAGUGGAAUUCCAUGUGUAGCGGUGAAAUGCGUAGAUAUAUGGAGGAACACCGGUGGCGAAAGCGGCUCUCUGGUCUGUAUCUGACGCUGAGGCUCGAAAGCGUGGGGAGCGAACAGGAUUAGAUACCCUGGUAGUCCACGCCGUAAACGAUGAGUGCUAGGUGUUGGAUCCUUUCCGGGAUUCAGUGCCGCAGCUAACGCAUUAAGCACUCCGCCUGGGGAGUACGACCGCAAGGUUGAAACUCAAAGGAAUUGACGGGGGCCCGCA
rnacentral:rRNA from 1 species